CCUACGGGGGGCUGCAGUCGAGAAUAUUUGGCAAUGGGCGAAAGCCUGACCAUGCGACGCCGCGUGCUGGAUGAAGUCCUUCGGGACGUAAACAGCUUUUAUGCGUGAGGAAGUUAUUGACGUUAGCGCAUGAAUAAGGGGCUCCUAACUCUGUGCCAGCAGGAGCGGUAAUACAGAGGCCCCAAGCAUUAUCCGGAAUCACUGGGCGUAAAGGGUGUGUAGGUGGCAGUGUUAGUCCUCUGUUAAAGACCACGGGCUUAACCCGAGGAAUGCAGAGGAAACGGCACUGCUUUGAGGAUGUGAGAGGUUACGGGAACUCAUGGUGUAGGGGUGAAAUCCGUUGAUAUCAUGGGGAACACCAAAUGCGAAGGCACGUAACUGGCACAUUCCUGACACUGAAACACGAAAGCGUGGGUAGCGAACGGGAUUAGAUACCCUAGUAGUC
rnacentral:rRNA from 1 species